AUUGAACGCUGGCGGCAGGCCUAACACAUGCAAGUCGAACGAGUGGCGGACGGGUGAGUAAUGUCUGGGAAACUGCCUGAUGGAGGGGGAUAACUACUGGAAACGUUAGCUAAUACCGCAUACCAUCAGAUGUGCCCAGCUGGGAUUAGCUUGGUGGUGGGGUAACGGCUCACCAAGGCGACGAUGCCUAGCUGGUCUGCGAGGAUGACCAGCCACACUGGGACUGAGACACGGUCCAGACUCCUACGUGAGGCAGCAGUGGGGAAUCUUGCACAAUGGUCGCAAGCCUGAGGCAGCCAAGCCGCGUGUAUGAAGAAGGCCUUCGGGUUGUAAAGUACUUUCAGCAGGGAAGCGUUACCCGCAGAAAAAGCACCGGCUAACUCCGGGCCAGCAGCCGCGGUAAUAC
rnacentral:rRNA from 1 species